rnacentral:tRNA from 1 species
GGGCUGGUAGAUCAACUGGAACAAGCUUUUGAGAACGUUUGCAGGAAAGAUCGCUUGCAUGGCAUGCAAGAGGCUGUGGGUUCGAGUCCCGCCCAGUCCA